GCAAACAUGCAUUUAAACAUGUUUUUGUCUCGCUCAGGGUGUUUCUGCUCUUGUUGUCGUCUGGCUAUAUCGGCCUGCGUAUCGUGGCCUUAGAAGAGCAGCUGAUGUCUCUCGGAGCCCUUCCCGAAUUCACCCUACAAAGCGGGUACAAAGAAACGUAAGAGAUCUCAUCCGUCUGAACUUUGGAAAGAACCACCAAAAACCGUUUUUAAAGAUCCACUAGCUGCCGCAGGGAAUGCUGGGAAAGGACCUUUAUUUGCACAUGCGCCAGCUACUAAAACUCUGUGCGUCUUUGCCAAGGAAACAACCAAAGGGCACGCAUUACGGGACGCUGGUGUUGACGAAACGCGGGCGGUUUGUGUUAGCGCUGCAGCAACUCACCCAAAAACAACUAAAGACAACAGGUUUGUCUCUGAAGACUGUCAAAGACAACAAAAACAAACUACUUCCGUGGAAAAGCAUUUCAUCGGUUAUUGCUCAUUGAAGCGCCUUCGUUUGACCACAUUUACAACCAUCCAAAAAUUACGCAAAGAACUUAUUUUUUCUUCGUAAGUUUUAAGUUUCCUUCCGUCUUUUUCGUCAGUCUUUCGGUUUUAUUCUUCCUCUUACAUUUUUUUUUUUCGUAUAAGGGGUUGCGAUAUUACUGGUUUCAGUUUAACGAUAAAAAAGAGCUAAGCUAGCUAACCAACGCUCACUCAUUGUAGCGCCUUUGUUGGACCACUUUUACGACCAUCAAAAAAUGUUGCAAAUAACUUUUCUCCAUUUUUCCUUCCCAAGUUCCUUAUUUUUGAUGGCUAGCUUUGUCUUGUUCAUCUUUUGGUUUCAUUCUUCCUUAAUUUUUUUUUUCAUAGAAAAGCUUGCGAUAUUAUAGGUUUAGUUUUAACGAUAAAAAAGAGCUAAGCUAGCUAACCAACCCUUACUCAUUGCAGCGCCUUUGUUUGACCACUUUUACGACCAUCAAAAAAUAAAGUUGUGAAUAACGGUGUCGUAUAAAGUGUUGCGAUAUUACUGGUUUGGUUUAACGUUAAAAAAGAGCUGAGCUAGCUAGCCAGCCCUUAGUAUUAUUGUAUGUAUAGUCUAUGCACAAGAAACGCUCAGAUCAGGUAUUUAACGAGUUUUUGUCUUUUUAUACUUUAAGGAGACGAAGUAGUCCAACAUGUUGGUCUUUUCGUAAUCCGAAAAAAAUAAAUAAAUAAAAUUGUGCAAGAAGAGAUGGACGUGGUAUUGUUAAGCGUCCGAUUUACGGCUAAAACCAAGCGUGCAUGUUUGCGCAAACCCAAAUGGAGCUUUUCCAUUCAGGACUCGUAACGAGACGAAUCGCGAUACCUGACGAAAGUGGUGUGGUCCAAAAUAUGCAUGGUUUUUGUGUGCGUAUAUAUGUAUGUGUUCUUAAAAAUAUGUUGCAAUAUGUUCAAGAGAUAAGCGACGUGUAGCCGUUCGAGUGCACUUUAUAGUGUGUAGACGCUCUCCAGUCCUGGAGGGGGCGCUAUAUUGAGGGUCUGUGGCAUUGGAUGGUGCUAAGAACCUCUCGCUCAGGGCCGGGACUGACUCGCAAUGCAUCGUGGGAUUGUUGCACCUCAGUUUUGGUAUCUUAGUCAUCUGCUGGCGACCUUUCUCUGCUGGUUUUCUGCUGAAAUAAACGCGUAUGGACUCACCGAAUUUCUUGUGCAAAUGUAUGCAUGCUUUUUUUUUUUCCUGAAAUGGAGAUUCCUCGUUGGACUGAUCCGUGCAAAUUGAUUCGCACAACAUUUCAUCCAGUCGCCGGGACGUCGAAACCUCAAAGUCCCCUCAACGGCUGUCUAUUAACCACAAUGCAAGAAACCCAACUUUCAUAAUUUGUUGAUAUUGCACUAUUGAAUUGUUAUUGUUUUUGUAUCAAUAUGUCGGUGAACAUCUUGUUUGGUCUAUUUAUUGCCUAAUGUGUCUCUGUGAGACUGGCUUUGGCAUUGUUUGAAUAAAAAUCAAGUGCUAAGGAAA